rnacentral:lncRNA from 1 species
GUCCCUGAGGUACACUGAACACAUUCAGUCUUAGUUUCUUAUUCCCAAACGAUACGUCUAUGACUCCUGUCCUACAAUUGAUGUAUGCGUUUUCCAUAGCUAAGAAGGGUCUGCCUAAGAUAAUGAGAAUUUGCCUUGAAUUACCACUCAAUUCCAUGUCAAAGACUAGAAAAUCAACUGAAAAAUAGAACUCAUCUACUUUGACCAAAACAUCUUCGAUCAUCCCACGUGGUGUCUUAAUUGAUCUAUCAGCUAACUGUAAAGUGACCGACAUGGGUUUCAGUUCUCUGAAUCCAAAAAGUUCAUAAACUGAGCUAGGUAAAAGAUUCACACUAGCCCCUAGGUCCAAGAGAGCUUGUUCAAUGUGAAAGUCUCUUAUAAUGCAAGAAAUGGUAGAAGUACCUAAAUCUUUAAGCUUUGGAGGGAUAGCGUGCUGGAAUACAGAGCUAGCUUGUUCGUUGAGGCAUAUUUUCUUCGAGAGUUGUGAUCGGGAUUUACGUUUCUGAGUGCACAAUUCCUUCAAAAAUUUUGCGUAAGCUGGAACUUGUUUGAUUACGUCUAGAAGGAGGAGAUUAAUUUAAACUUGCUUAAAUUAUUCUAACAUCUCGUCGAAUCUUCCUCCCUUCUUAUCUGCAGGAGUAGGAUCUUUUAGGACACUCAAAAAUGGGGCUUUAGGCAAGUAAAGUGAUUCCAGGUGCAAUUGGUCAAUUUUCUACUUUUGGGUCCUCCUUGUUCUUGGGUGAUUCAGGCUUGAUCAGAGGUCUAGGAUCGGUCUCAUUAGUUUUACUCGUGUGUUUAAUGACCUUUCCACUUUUGAGAAUCAUGAUUGAUUUGGCAUGUUCAGAAAAGAUAUCUGAAGUAUUGGAGCUCUCAACUAUGAAUUGCCCUCUCGAAUUACUCUCAGGUUGGCUAGGUAAUUUUUCUCCUUUCCUCCUACUGACUGCGGUUGCUAGUUGACCUAUUUGGGUCUCUAGCUUAGCAAUGGAUUGUAUGUGGGAGUUAAGGGUUUGGGUGUUGACUUCUAAUCAUUCUAACACUUUUAGAACCUUCUCCUCAAAAGCUGAGCUGUGAUCAGUGAUAGAUGGUUGAAGAGCAUUUUGGAACUGGUGGUAUGAUCCAUACCUAUAUGUCGGAUCCUGAUAGUUAGGUCUAAGUACAGUAGGGCCAACCACUGGCUGUGAUCUUCAGA